rnacentral:rRNA from 1 species
UACGGGGGGGGCAAGCGUUGUUCGGAAUUACUGGGCGUAAAGGGCGCGUAGGCGGCCUUCUAAGUCGAACGUGAAAUCCCCGGGCUCAACCCGGGAACUGCGUCCGAUACUGGAAGGCUUGAGACCGGGAGAGGUGAGUGGAAUUCCCAGUGUAGCGGUGAAAUGCGCAGAUAUCAGGAGGAACACCGGUGGCGAAGGCGGAUCUCUGGGCCUUACCUGACGCUGAGGCGCGAAAGCUAGGGGAGCAAACAGG